UACAGAGGUCCCAAGCGUUGUUCGGAUUCACUGGGCGUAAAGGGUGCGUAGGUGGUCGGGUAAGUCUGAUGUGAAAUCUCCGAGCUUAACUCGGAAAUGGCAUUGGAUACUAUUCGGCUGGAGGUUUGGAGGGGGGGACUGGAAUUCUCGGUGUAGCAGUGAAAUGCGUAGAUAUCGAGAGGAACACCAGUGGCGAAGGCGAGUCCCUGGACAACACCUGACACUGAUGCGCGACAGCGUGGGGAGCAAACAGG
rnacentral:rRNA from 1 species